ensembl:lncRNA
AGAAGAACAGGCCUAUGUGUGAUAAAAAAGAGGAAAAGGCCUGGAAGAAGUGGGUUUUGGAUUAUUUUUGCCAGUUUUGUGUCUCGAUGUGAGGACAUUUUAUAUACACCUCUCCCCUUCCUCUCCUCCAUCCUCCCAGCUGUGCUGCUGGGUCUCGCAGCACAUCAAAGUGGAAGGAUCUCAACGCCUGUCUCAGGAGACAUUGCACAGUUCAAAGUUCACAGACGUGAAUUGUGAAGAUUCUUCUAGAUGGAAAUAUCUCAGCUCAUAAUCCUCGAAAAAUCAGGUGGGGAAGGCAGUCUUCAGAGCAUUCACUCUGCCAUUCUCUGUGUCCGUCAUAGCAAUUUCUUCUCCAUGUUCAUGGAACACCUGUGGGCAGCACAGUUCCAGGCACUGGUUCUUUCAUUCCAUCAACACUGUUGGGGAGGCUACUUGGACCAGGCACUGUUCUAGGCAUUAUGGACAGAUCAUGAGUGAAAUGAAAGGAGUCCCAGACCCAGCUGGGUGGAGGUGACAGUGAUGAAGAAGUCACAUGUUGGUUGACAACUGCUGUGAACUGGCAACCGGCACCAUAGAAGGGACUGACUGGCAGCUGUACCUGACCUGAAUUUGGGGAGCUGUAAGGAAGGCCGCUGGGAUGGAGGGAUGGCCCAGUUUAUCCUGAGUAGAGCCCAUUCUUAGGAACCGCAAGAUAAAAUGGAAAAUGUCAUCUAGCCUGGAGAAAAAUGGACUCUCGCUCUUGGCCUCCCAAUAAUGGUCUGAUCCAAUCCACAUCCUCUGCAACCAUGUUUCUUCCUGCUUAGAAGAAAAGGGAUGAAAAGGACUUUUCUGCAGUCAGGCAGACCCGUGUCAACUGCGAGGUGAUCUCAGGUAGAUUGCAUGGCUUCUCUCAGUUUCGGUUUUCUUGUCAGGUAAAGAGACAGAUCAGAUGAAUGCAGUAAUUAUAAUCACCUGUGUUGGGCACUUGUUAUGUGCCUGUCACAGAUUUACAUGCAUCACCUCAUUUAAUCUUCGAAACAGGCUAGGCGUGGUGGCUCACACCUGUAAUCCCAGGACUUUGGGAGGCUGAGGCAUGUGGAUCAUUUGAGGUCAGGAGUUCAAGAUCAGCAUGGUCAACAUGGUGAAACCCCAUCUACUAAAAAUACAAAAAUUAGCUGGAUGUGGUGGCAGGCACCUGUAAUCCCAGCUACUCAGGAGGCUGAGGCAAGAGAAUUGCUUGAACCCUUGAACCUGGGAGGCUGAUAUGGCACCACUACACUCCAGCCUGGGCAACAGAGUGAGACUCUGUCUUAAAAAAAAAAAAUCUUUGAAACAACCCCUAUGAGUUUGGCAUUAUUCUCUAGGGGUGAGAUUGGGGCAAGGUAAGGGAGACAUUUGCCCCAUGCACAAAAUCUAAAGGGGUACCCCAAAAGCAAUAAUGAAGACAAUAUUUCAUUGUAAUUUUAAAAAUCGAAGUUAACGCAAAAAAAUUCAUAUUGAAUAGAUUGUCAACAUUUAAAAUCAAGACAUCAUCCCUCCCUGUACUUGCAGGACCUGGCCUCACUCAUUUUACCUUAAUCUGGCCCCAGCAUCACCCCCAAUUUGCAGAUGGAGACAUUAAGGCUCGGAGGCUUCCUUCCGCCUUGUACUUCAGGUCCUGCUAACUAUGUGGACAGGGCAGCCUGCCUUCCUCCUCCUCAAGACGUCACUCUGAGGGCCUCUGUUCACAGCCCCCACCCCCACAGGAGGGACAGGACAAUGCACAGUAAAGAGCACGUAAGUGGGGACAGCUGGCUAUUUCUGUUGUGACCGUCGUUACUGUUUAACAUGCAUUAAGAACCCACAGUGUACUUUGAAAUCAAAGGGUACCAGGAAGCGUCCUGGUAAACUUAGCUCUGUAGUCUUUCGGGGGCACCUGGCUGUACUUCACAGAGAAAUCAGAUAAAGCAAAGACAAG